rnacentral:rRNA from 1 species
GAUGAACGCUGGCGGCGUACCUAAUACAUGCAAGUCGAGCGAACAGACGAGGAGCUUGCUCCUCUGAUGUUAGCGGCGGACGGGUGAGUAACACGUGGAUAACCUACCUAUAAGACUGGGAUAACUUCGGGAAACCGGAGCUAAUACCGGAUAAUAUAUUGAACCGCAUGGUUCAAUAGUGAAAGACGGUUUUGCUGUCACUUAUAGAUGGAUCCGCGCCGCAUUAGCUAGUUGGUAAGGUAACGGCUUACCAAGGCAACGAUGCGUAGCCGACCUGAGAGGGUGAUCGGCCACACUGGAACUGAGACACGGUCCAGACUCCUACGGGAGGCAGCAGUAGGGAAUCUUCCGCAAUGGGCGAGAGCUUGACGGAGCAACGCCGCGUGAGUGAUGAAGGUCUUCGGAUCGUAAAACUCUGUUAUUAGGGAAGAACAAAUGUGUAAGUAACUAUGCACGUCUUGACGGUACCUAAUCAGAAAGCCACGGCUAACUACGUG